AUUGAACGCUGGCGGCAGGCUUAACACAUGCAAGUCGAGCGGGGUGAUGGUGCUUGCACUAUCACUUAGCGGCGGACGGGUGAGUAAUGCUUAGGAAUCUGCCUAUUAGUGGGGGACAACAUCUCGAAAGGGAUGCUAAUACCGCAUACGUCCUACGGGAGAAAGCAGGGGAUCACUUGUGACCUUGCGCUAAUAGAUGAGCCUAAGUCGGAUUAGCUAGUUGGUGGGGUAAAGGCCUACCAAGGCGACGAUCUUUAGCGGGUCUGAGAGGAUGAGCCGCCACACUGGGACUGAGACACGGCCCAGACUCCUACGGGAGGCAGCAGUGGGGAAUAUUGGACAAUGGGGGGAACCCUGAUCCAGCCAUGCCGCGUGUGUGAAGAAGGCCUUAUGGUUGUAAAGCACUUUAAGCGAGGAGGAGGCUCUUUUGGUUAAUACCCAAGAUGAGUGGACGUUACUCGCAGAAUAAGCACCGGCUAACUCUGUGCCAGCAGCCGCGGUAA
rnacentral:rRNA from 1 species